rnacentral:rRNA from 1 species
UGGCGGACGGGUGAGUAACACGUGAGCAACCUGCCUUUCAGAGGGGGAUAACGUUUGGAAACGAACGCUAAUACCGCAUAAAAUAUCGGAGUCGCAUGGCACUGAUAUCAAAGGAGCAAUCCGCUGAAAGAUGGGCUCGCGCCCGAUUAGGCAGUUGGCGGGGUAACGGCCCACCAAACCGACGAUGCGUAGGGGUUCUGAGAGGAAGGUCCCCCACACUGGUACUGAGACACGGACCAGACUCCUACGGAAGGCAGCAG